rnacentral:rRNA from 1 species
UACGGGGGGGGCAAGCGUUGUUCGGAAUUACUGGGCGUAAAGGGCUCGUAGGUGGCCAACUAAGUCGGACGUGAAAUCCCUCAGCUUAACUGGGGAACUGCGUCCGAUACUGGAUGGCUUGAGUUUGGGAGAGGGAUGCGGAAUUCCAGGUGUAGAGGUGAAAUGCGUAGAUAUCUGGAGGAACACCGGUGGCGAAGGCGGCAUCCUGGACCAACACUGACACUGAGGAGCGAAAGCCAGGGGAGCAAACGGG